UGAUAGUUUGGAAUUUAGUUUUGAAGCACUUUCGCUUUGAUAGUCUUCUUGAUCAGUGGUUGAUGCUUAUUUGUACUGUUUGUUUAAAGCUAAUCUUGAACGACACGUGGUUCGGAACUCCAUGGAUAGUGGACCCACCUUCUA